ensembl:lncRNA
CUGCCUUCAGGGCAGUUGUGUGGGCUGCGUGUGUUGGGUCGGGCUGUGAGGGGUGUCCCCUUGUUUUAAACCUGUGGCCUCCCUCUGUCCUUCUGGUGUCUUCAUUUGUCCGGGGGGGUUCCCUCUCUUCCUCUUGCUUGCAGCCUCUAGCAUUUAAGGUCUAGGGUAGGGGCAGACAAUUAUUUUGGGCAAAGGGUUUUGGCAAGCUAUUGAGGGCCGCAUGAGAGCGGGGGGCCGAUAAAUAUAAACUUUCUAAAUCUUUAGGGGCCCCGCGGGCUGGAUAGAACGGCCUGGUGGGUUGUAUGUGGCCUGUGGGACACAUUUUGCCUAACCUGGUCUAGGGACCUCUGAUUCAGAGGCUGUGCCCCUUGCUCCCUGCUCAAUAAUAAUUGCCUGGAACCACUAGCGGGGAAACCAGUAAACCCAAAAGUGCACUUUUACCAGCACCUCUGGUUUCGGGGCUGGCGCUUCCAGGGGUGCGUGGCCAAUCUCAGGGUGCACGUGCACCUGCCUGCACCCCUUACAUGUCACCAAUGCCAUGUUUGGUUAAAACUUAGCACCUACUCAUUUCAUUUUGUGACCCUGAGCUCUUGUAUUGUGAGAGAUGGUCAAUAAUAAAUCCCUGUUUACUUUCUCUUUGCAAUUUAGUGUAUUGUAAACCCUUAUGUCACACCUCAAGCAUCUCCUUUCUAAAAUGACUAGGCCUUGCCUUUUUACUCUCCUUGCAUGGAAGCCCCUCCAUGCUCUUAUUAUCCUGGUUGCCCUUCUUUAGUUCUAUGUUUUGGAGGUGUGAGAACCAGAACUGGGUACAGUAUUCAAAGUGUGGACGCACCAUGGAUUUAUAAAGGAACAUAAUGGUACUUUCUGUUUUGUUUAUAAUUCUGUUUUGUAAUCAUUUCUGAUGUUUUAUUUGCUUUUUGACAGAUGCUGAGCACUGAGCUGAUGUUUUUAGCAAACUGCCCACGAUCACUCCCUCAUCUCUUUCCUUUAUGGUAAUGGCUCAUGUGGAGCCCAUCAUAAUGAAGCUGGCAGGAGCUCAAAUCAUGGGAAGGGGAGAGAAGGGCGCAUCAAAGGAGGCAAGACUUACAAGGCCUUUUGCUGGGAACAGGAUGAAGAACAAAGUGAAUAAACUUAUGCAGCUUGCAGAAGGAAACAUCUUUGCUGUGCAGAUUUUCUGGAUCUGUUUCUUAGGACAGAGGGAAAGCAGAUCUUAACAUACGCUGAUGACCUGCACACCUGCCACUUGAAUAUGAC